UACAGAGGUCUCAAGCGUUGUUCGGAUUCAUUGGGCGUAAAGGGUGUGUAGGUGGCGCCGUAAGUCGGGUGUGAAAUUUCGGAGCUUAACUCCGAAACUGCAUUCGAUACUGCGGUGCUUGAGGACUGGAGAGGAGACUGGAAUUCAUGGUGUAGCAGUGAAAUGCGUAGAGAUCAUGAGGAAGACCAGUGGCGAAGGCGGCCUGCUGGGCAGUAGCUGACGCUGAGGCGCGACAGCGUGGGGAGCAAACAGG
rnacentral:rRNA from 1 species